CAACAUCCGCAUGCCCAUAGGAUCCCUGGGUUGGUUUGUACUAUGAAGACUGCGGUUUGGUUCCAGACUCACUCUGAGAAGAGAGGUGGACUGAAUUAGCUACAGUGUGAUACAAUGUGCGCAUGCGUCACAAAGACCAUCCAGGCACACACUGAAGUGAGCACAUGAAUGAUUCUGAGAACUGACCCUGGAAGAAUCAAAUAGGAUCUUCUUCAGUGGAGUUACUGCAGGCACUUCUAGAUGUAGUUUAAAGGAGUCUAUCCUGAAAGAUGAUGCUGUGAAAGUGCUGCACUCAAUAUGCCAGCAAAUGUGGAAAACUCAGCAGUGGCCACAGGACUGGAAAAGGUCAGUUUUCAUUCCAAUCCCAAAGAAAGGCAAUGCCAAAGAAUGCUCAAAC
ensembl:lncRNA